UGUGGGUAGGGGUGAAAGGCCAAUCAAACUCCGUGAUAGCUGGUUCUCCCCGAAAUGCAUUUAGGUGCAGCGUCGCAGUGUUCGUGUCGGAGGUAGAGCUACUGGAUGGCCGAUGGGCCUCACAAGGGUACUGACGUCAGCCAAACUCCGAAUGCCGACACGGUGUAAUGCGGCAGUGAGACGGCGGGGGAUAAGCUCCGUGCGUCGAGAGGGAAACAGCCCAGAUCGCCGGCUAAGGCCCCUAAGCGUGUGCUA
rnacentral:rRNA from 1 species